rnacentral:lncRNA from 1 species
UCUCAAAUCAAUAAAAUCUUUAAAAAAAGGAACAAAGGAAAACUCCAGAAUUUCACCCUGACUAGAUUCUGUCAGAGUACCUACAACUAGCUCCUGAAUAUAUGGAUUUGUAGGUGGUUCCGUGAUGGAACUGAAAGGAGCUGGCUUUAUGUCCUGGGUCCCAACACUUCAACGCCAGUUGGAUUUACCUCAGCUCGGCUGCAGAUUCCUCAUCCGUGAAACAGAGAACUUGGAUUUACUUACUACGUCUUCCUCCCCAGACUGAAGUAUGAGGAAGAUUGCCAAAGAAGAGCCUCCCCUGGGAAAACAUCCAGGCAGUGCAUUCCGGCAAACCCCAUGGACUCUCCAUUUCACAGCCAGGAAAAUAACGGAGUCUCCA